CCUACGGGAGGCAGCAGUAGGGAAUUUUCGUCAAUGGGCGCAAGCCUGAACGAGCGAUGCCGCGUGAGUGAAGAAGGCCUUCGGGUCGUAAAGCUCUGUUUCUGGGGAAAUAAGGCAGCAUCAGGAAAUGGUUGCUGACUUAUGGUGCCCCUCCAGAAAGUCACGGCUAACGACGUGCCAGCAGCUGCGGUAAUACGUAGGUGGCGAGCGUUAUCCGGAAUGAUUGGGCGUAAAGGGUGCGCAGGCGGUCCGGCAAGUCUGGAGUGAAACGGAUUGGCUCAACUCUUGCAUGGCUUUGGAAACUGGAGGACUGGAGAGCAGGAGAGGGCGGUGGAACUCCAUGUGUAGCGGUAAAAUGCGUAGAUAUAUGGAAGAACACCAGUGGCGAAGGCGGCCGACUGGACUGUUGCUGACGCUGAGGCACGAAAGCGUGGGGAGCAAAUAGGAUUAGAUACCCUUGUAGUC
rnacentral:rRNA from 1 species